rnacentral:lncRNA from 1 species
GGGAUGGGGUGGAUCAGGACGGUCGGGUCCCGAUCUGGCUGAGGAGGACGCCGGUCCGUCGCCGGCGAGCAUCGCGACGGUGGUCAGAGGUGGAGGCGAGGCCGAGGGGCGCGUGGGAGGCCGGGUCCAUGGCGAGUCGGGCCGGAUCUGGUGGCGGGCGCAGCGCACCAUGCGGCGGAGCGGCGAGGCAGGAGGCGGCGACGCGCGACAACGCAGGCGCGCGGGGCGGCGAGGCAGGAGGCGGCGCGCCUGGGGCGGCGAAGUGCGGCAGCGGCGGCACGCGGCAGUGCAGGCCACGGUUGUUGCUGCCGGCUGAUCAAUGAUAGCGCGUGUGCACGGCAGCGCGCACGGCGCCAAGAAUCCAUCCCUUGCUGGCUCGCUCCCUGCCUCCUUUCGUUCUGAUCUUUGCAGUCGGCAGGGGCAGCACGCCACAUCGAUUCAGUUUCACAGCUACAACUUACAAAUUCAACCACUGAAGGUAUAAUUGAUAAUUAGAUGUACUGAUCCUUCUAUUUCUAAAAUUGGGAUCUCUUCGCUCAUGCAGCCAUGCUGCUGCUUGUUUGAAACAGUCAUGCUAAUUCGAUUUCCCAAUUUAUCUAUCAAUGCAGGUGCAGGCAUGGGCACAGUUUUGUGCUUGCUGUCAAUCACGCUGCAGUAUAGACGUGCAAGAGUAAGUUUGUUUGAUCAGUUGGUGCAAGUUCUUUCUGUAAAAAAUGUUUCUAAUGUAUAAAAAACUGAACAAUGAUGCUUAUACAAACUUUACGUAAACCAAUGGCUUAGCUUUGAUUUUUCAUAUUUUUUUAAACUGUUUUGCUAAUGAUUUUUUUUAAGUAUAUGGAUG